CUUGGUGUAUUUUCUUUGUAUCUCCUGUCUCUAUCAUUCCAUCCUUAGGGUGGUCGAGAACCUGUUGAAGCCCUGCAGGCCGGGGCAACUGGCGCCCAAAGUGGAUGAAACCACCUCUUGAGGAUUCAGAACGUCGUCUCCUGGAGGAAAGACCAAGGCCUUGGUGAAGUUGUUGGAUUUCCCUGAAAUCGCCGGUUCAAGACGCGAUCCUGGAGGAGAGCGGAGACGACGCAGAAACAACCAUGUCUCCGACUUACAACAUACUCAAGAGCCAUGUUGGAAAAAGCGAUGCAAGGUUACACGACCUCUAGCCGAUGACCUUUUAGCUGCUUCAUCUCCGGUCCUCUGGUGUCCUCUGUGGUCUCUAUUUGGCGUGGUCGGCUUCAUAGACUUCUCUUGGCUUGUCCGGCUCUUUCACUCCUCUCCAAGUCUAUAAAACAAAACGGAUGCACCUGAGCCGUUGAGCAAGCACAUAAAGUUCUGUUCCCAGCCACCUGGUAUUGUCCUGUCCUCUGCAGUCAGGCUCUGCUACUAAAAAGACCCUACAAGUCGGAGGUCCCACGUGUUGAUCUUCUUGGUGCCCCCAGAGGAAAGGGAGGAAAGACGGACAGCUAGAAGCCCGGGCUUGUCUGCAGGUGGCCUCCCUAGUCCCGCCUACUCUCCGGAGAGCUUCCCACAGCUUCCCAGCACCUCCCCGGCCCGCACUUCCCCUAUAGGCCAGCUCCUCACACGUGGAUCCCAGAGGGCGGUCUUGCCUUGGGAACAGAAGUUGAGAUCCCUCCUCUGAAGAUUGGCCGCUCAAAGUCUGAUGAAGAAAGGUUUGGGAAUUUUCCAGAAAUGCCCUCACGGUGGCGGUGUGGCGCCCAGAAUUCUAUCAAAUAGAACCGGUCUCCUCCACAUGCUUCUCUCCCUCCCAUAUGGUGUUAGGGGGAAGAACGUGACCAAGAGACAAAGACACCAGAAACUAUGGAUGCCUUGUCCUUGAACAGUUUUAGAAAAUCUGCUUGCAUCAUGGUUUUCCUUUUGGUUUUCACCCAAAAUCAGAGGCCUAGUUCAAGAAUUCAAUUUCCACCUAUCCAGUCUUUGCAAUUCGCCCCCACACCCUACCCCACGCACACCCACCUCCAUCCCCACCGCGCUACCCCAGCUUCACUCAGCACUUUCUCACGGAACCAAAUUGUCUUGGAGUAUCCGGGAUGGACUCCAGGGACCCGAGGCUAGUGAGAAAAGAAAAUGGUUCCAGCUGAGGGGUUGGAGACCAGCCACUCCAGGCAUCACUACCAGUGCCUUGUCACUGGUCCCCUUCCCACACUCCCUGGGGAAUCUGCACAUACUCUGACCAGAGUACCAAACCUGUAUGUUGGGGGACACUCCACAACUCCAAAUUAUGUGUCUAGUAGACUACAAGCAUAUAUAAUACAGCAUACUCUGUAUUAAGGAGAAGGGGGUUUUGAUAAUUAUUUUAAUCAAUUUUAUUGAUUAAAAUUAGAAGAAAAAGGAA